CUAUGCGCCUUGCCAGCCCGCUCAGUCAGAGUUUGAUCCUGGCUCAGGAUGAACGCUGGCGGCGUGCCUAAUACAUGCAAGUCGAGCGAACAGACGAGGAGCUUGCUCCUUUGACGUUAGCGGCGGACGGGUGAGUAACACGUAGGUAACCUACCUAUAAGACUGGGAUAACUUCGGGAAACCGGAGCUAAUACCGGAUAAUAUUUCGAACCGCAUGGUUCGAUAGUGAAAGGUGGCUUUGCUAUCACUUAUAGAUGGACCUGCGCCGUAUUAGCUAGUUGUAAGUAACGGCUUACCAAGGCAACGAUACGUAGCCGACCUGAGAGGGUGGUCGGCCACACUGGAACUGAGACACGGUCCAG
rnacentral:rRNA from 1 species